rnacentral:rRNA from 1 species
AUUGAACGCUGGCGGCAGGCCUAACACAUGCAAGUCGAACGGUAACAGGAAACAGCGUGCUGUUUCGCUGACGAGUGGCGGGCGGGUGGGUAAUGUCUGUGAAACUGCCUGAUGGAGGGGGAUAACUACUGGAAACGGUAGCUAAUACCGCAUAACGUCGCAAGACCAAAGAGGGGGACCUUCGGGCCGCUUGCCAUCGGAUGUGCCCAGAUGGGAUUAGCUAGUAGGUGGGGUAACGGCUCACCUAGGCGACGAUCUCUAGCUGGUCUGAGAGGAUGACCAGCCACACUGGAACUGAGACACGGUCCAGACUCCUACGGGAGGCAGCAGUGGGGAAUAUUGCACAAUGGGCGCAAGCCUGAUGCAGCCAUGCCGCGUGUAUGAAGAAGGCCUUCGGGUUGUAAAGUACUUUCAGCGGGGAGGAAGGGAGUAAAGUUAAUACCUUUGCUCAUUGACGUUACCCGAAGAAGAAGCACCGGCUAACUCCGUG